rnacentral:rRNA from 1 species
CGUGAGCAAUCUGCCUUGGAGUGGGGAAUAACGGCUGGAAACAGCCGCUAAUACCGCAUGACGCGUCUGGGAGGCAUCUCUCUGGACGCCAAAGAUUUAUCGCUCUGAGAUGAGCUCGCGUCUGAUUAGCUGGUUGGCGGGGUAACGGCCCACCAAGGCGACGAUCAGUAGCCGGACUGAGAGGUUGGCCGGCCACAUUGGGACUGAGACACGGCCCAGACUCCUACGGAAGGCAGCAG